UACGUAGGGUGCAAGCGUUGUCCGGAAUUAUUGGGCGUAAAGGGUGCGUAGGCGGUGCGGUAAGUCUGUUGUGAAAUCUCCGGGCUCAACUCGGAGUCUGCAUCAGAAACUGCCGUGCUGGAGUGUGGGAGAGGUGAGUGGAAUUCCGGGUGGAGCGGUGAAAUGCGUAGAGAUCCGGAGGAACACCGACGGCGCAGGCAGCGUCCUGGCCGCUUGCUGACACUGAGGCACGAAAGCUGGGGGAGCAAACAGG
rnacentral:rRNA from 1 species